CCUACGGGUGGCAGCAGUGGGGAAUAUUGCACAAUGGGGGAAACCCUGAUGCAGCGACGCCGCGUGAGUGAAGAAGUAAUUCGUUACGUAAAGCUCUAUCAGCCGGGAAGAAACACUGACCUUACGGUCAGCAGACGGUACCUGAGUAAGAAGACCCGGCUAACUACGUGCCAGCAGCCGCGGGAAUACGUAGGGGGCAAGCGUUAUCCGGAUUUACUGGGGGUAAAGGGGGCGGAGACGGUGCGCCAAGUCUGGAGGGAAAUGCCGCAACUUAACUGCGGAACUGCUGUGGAAACUGGUGAACUAGAGUGCGCGAGGGGUAAGCGGAAUUCCUAGUGUAGCGGUGAAAUGCGUAGAUAUUAGGAGGAACACCGGUGGCGAAGGCAGCUUACUAAACUGCCACUGACAUUGAUGCUCGAAAGUGUGGGUAUCAAACAGGAUUAGAUACCCCAGUAGUC
rnacentral:rRNA from 1 species